rnacentral:tRNA from 1 species
GCGCUCGUGGCGGAACUGGAAGACGCGCCCCGGCUCAGACCCGGGUGCCCUACACGGGCAUGCAGGUUCGAUUCCUGCCGAGCGCACUA